rnacentral:rRNA from 1 species
UACGUAGGGUGCAAGCGUUAAUCGGAAUCACUGGGCGUAAAGCGCACGCAGGCGGAUCUUUAAGUCAGGGGUGAAAUCCUGGAGCUCAACUCCAGAACUGCCUUUGAUACUGGCGACCUUGAGUCCGGGAGAGGUGAGUGGAACUGCGAGUGUAGAGGUGAAAUUCGUAGAUAUUCGCAAGAACACCAGUGGCGAAGGCGGCUCACUGGCCCGGUACUGACGCUGAGGUGCGAAAGCGUGGGGAGCAAACAGG